rnacentral:rRNA from 1 species
UAAGCGGAGGAAAAGAAACUAACAAGGAUUCCCCUAGUAACUGCGAGUGAAGCGGGAAAAGCUCAAAUUUAAAAUCUGGUGGUCUUUGGCCAUNCCGAGUUGUAAUUUAGAGAAGCGUCNUUCCGCGCUGGACCGUGCACAAGUCUCCUGGAAUGGAGCGUCAUAGAGGGUGAGAAUCCCGUCUUUGGCAUGGACACACCAGGGCUUUUGUGAUGCGCUCUCGAAGAGUCGAGUUGUUUGGGAAUGCAGCUCAAAAUGGGUGGUGAACUCCAUCUAAAGCUAAAUAUUGGCGAGAGACCGAUAGCGAACAAGUACCGUGAGGGAAAGAUGAAAAGCACUUUGGAAAGAGAGUGAAACAGUACGUGAAAUUGUUGAAAGGGAAACGCUUGAAGUCAGUCACGUCGACCGAGACUCAGCCUUGCCUCGGCUUGGUGUACUUCUCGGCUGACGGGUCAGCAUCAAUUUUGCCCCUUGGAUAAUGGCGAGGGAAAUGUGACACCUUUAUGGUGUGUUAUAGUCUCUCGUCGCAUGCAAGGGUUGGGAUUGAGGAACUCAGCACGCGCCCUUUGGGUGUCGGGGCUUUGCCCACGAUACGUGCUUAGGAUGUUGGCAUAAUGGCUUUAAACGACC